UACGGGGGGAGCAAGCGUUGUUCGGAUUUACUGGGCGUAAAGGGCGCGUAGGCGGCUCGGCACGUCCGUUGUGAAAUCGCCCGGCUCAACUGGGCGGGGUCGGCGGAUACGGCCGAGCUGGAGCAAGCUAGGGGGUAAUGGAAUUCCCGGUGUAGUGGUGGAAUGCGUAGAUAUCGGGAGGAACACCAGUGGCGAAGGCGGUUACCUGGAGCUUUGCUGACGCUGAUGCGCGAAAGCGUGGGGAGCGAUCCGG
rnacentral:rRNA from 2 species